ensembl:lncRNA
GGGAGAUCUCCCAGAGGGCUAUUUGCCAGGAUAUAUAAUCAGCCUGCCACUCGAGUCGCUGCAGCCCAGCCUGUUUAUCUUGUGAGCUGCAGAGGCACUCACAGCCCCCGCUGCGGCUCCGUCCCCGGGUGAUUGCAUCUCUCCUAGGUGGGUGUUAAAGGACGGGACCGGACGACCGGAACCAUGGGAGGAAGAGCAGGCAGGCUGCAGGAGAGGAAGGAGGAAGGAACCACAGGAGAGGGUGUGGCGUGAGGCCGAUGGAAACCACAGCUAUCUGUUGGGCAGGAAAGAGAAACCAGAUACAGCUUCCUGGGCAAUGGAACUUCAGAGACAAGCACAGAGUUUGCUGUCAACUCCAGGAGGCUGAAGCCACCAUUCCCGCAGCCUUUGGGGGGCUGUCUCAGGAGCUGAAAUGGGCCAGUUACAAACAGAAUUGGUUCUGCUGUCAUAGAAAACCACAAAAGCAUAUGUGUUUUCAGACACAAAAGCUACCACACUUUCUUUGGAAAACAAGGCACAGGUGAAAAAAAAAAAAAUCUCACUUCUAAACAGAAUGGAAAGCAUGGCUAACUUGAGAUUUAUUUAAUUACAGUGUCUUUCUCCGGGCUAAUCAGUUUUAAAACCCAUUCAUAUUGGUGCCGAUGAGCCAAUAAAAGAUCCAGAAGAAAAGAAGUAUUAUAUCAAUGCAGAGAAACAAGGUUGUUUUUUUUAAAGCAUUGAAUUAAUGUUUACACCACUGAGUCAGAUUAUUUAUACAUAGGCUACAGGUUUUGCAUCUCCAGAAUUUGUUGGCACUUAGAAUAUGAUAAAUUGUACCUGACUGACUUGUGAAAAAUCAUCUCGAGAAAGAUUUUUCCCCCUGGGAAAAUAUGGAAAUGACACAUGGUGUGUACAGCCAGAAACAGCGAAAGGAAAGGAGGGUUUUGAGCUGUCACAGUGGAUGGUUAAGAAUUUCAGCUUUGGGGCAGAAGUUUUGCUCAAGUCACAUUACCUCAAAACCUGAUCGUCUUCAUCUCUAGAUUAGGUUCCAAGUUCAGGUAUUUCUGUAUAUAUUCAAUGGGAUAGGGACUUUCCUGGUGGUCUAGUCAUUAAGAAUCCACCUGCCAAUCAGGGGCAUGGGUUCGGUCCCCGGUCAGGGAACUAAAUCCCACAUGCCACGGGGCAGCAUGCCGCAACUAAAGAAGCCUGAACAUUGGAUAGAAGACCCAGCACAGCCAAAAAAAUUCAGUGGGGUAAUGCAUGCACAAAGUUCAACAUUAACCUCCCAGAGGCCAAAUAAGAAUCCAGUAAAUGCUAAUGUCUCUAUCAUUAUCAAAGGGAAUCUUUGCAUGCUUUAUCUCUCAUCUGGAAAAAAUUCACAAAAAAGGAUUAAAUUUGUUGGGGGAAAAAAGGUGAAUCUUGGGUCCCCCUUAGCACAUGUGCACUCCAUCCUUUCUAAAAAGUGAAGUUUGUAAGUUUACAGGUUUUAGGGAGAAAGGGAAGCAACCAGAAUGCUCCUACAUUACUGGUGGGGAUGUCAAAGGUCACAGACCUUUUGGAAACUCUUUUGUGGCUCCUCAACAGUUAAACAUAGAUACAGCCCAGAAGUCCCACUCCUAGGUGUAUACUCAGAAGUGAAAACAUGCGUUCAUAUAAAAACUUGUUCAUAAAUGUUCAUUUCAGGAUUGCUGAAGUGAAAUGUUAGUUGCUCAGUCACAUCUGACUCUUUGCGACCCCGUGGACUGUGGCCUCUGGGCUCCUCUAUCCAUGGGAUUCUCCAGGCAAGAAUACUGGAGUGGGUAGCCAUGCCCUUUUCCCGGGGUUUCUCCCAAUCCAGGGAUCGAACCCGAGUCUCCUUCACUGCAGGUGAAUUCUUUAUAGCUGAGCCAUCUGGGAGGCCCUAGAAAGACACAGCUCAAUUGUCUAUUGACAUGAUAGACAGAUAAAAUAGAUUUAAUAAAAAUGUUGAACAGCCAUACCAUGGAAUUUUAUUUGGCAACAAUAAGGUGUGGACAUAAGCUACAAGUGGAUCAAACUUGAAAACAUGAUUCUAGUUGUGAAGAAACCAGUCACAAAAGGCUACGUACUGCAUGACUUCAUUCAUAUGAAACAUCCAGAAUAAACAACUCCAUAGAGACAGAAAGGAAUUAGUGAUUGCCUGGGGCUGGGAGGGAAGGCAGGUAUGGGGAGUGAUUGCUAAUGGAUAUAAGGUAUUUUUGUUUGGUUUCGUUUAUCUUCAUAUUUACUAAUAUUUGUUUGGCUGUGCCAGGUCUUAGUUGUGGCAUCCCGGAACUUCAGUCUUCAUUUGUGGCAUGUGGGAUCUAGUUCCCUGGUUCUUCAGGGAUCAAACCCAGGUCCCUUGCAUUGGGAGCACAGUCUCAGCCACUGGACCGCCAGGAAAGUCCCCAGGGUUCCUUUUUGCAAUGAUAAAAAUUUUCUGGAAUUAGAUAGUUAUGAUGGUUGUACAGCUUUGUGAAUAGUCUCUAAAACACUGAACUGUACCUUCUAAAAUGGUGAAUUUUGUGGUUUACCAAUUGUAUCUGGAAAAAAAUCAGUGAAUGGUUAAUGUGGAAAAAAAGAAGAUAGAGAAGCCAAUAUUGUCAUUGUAGCAUCCAGAGAUAAUCACUGCAAAUGCUUUGAUGUAGAUCCUUCCAGACUGAUGUAAAUAUAUAUAUAUCAAAAAAUAAUAAUAAAAUGGUGUCAUA